rnacentral:rRNA from 1 species
GUCCACACCGUAAACGAUGAUUACUAGGUGUGGGGGACUGACCCCUUCCGUGCCGGAGUUAACACAAUAAGUAAUCCACCUGGGGAGUACGGCCGCAAGGUUGAAACUCAAAGGAAUUGACGGGGGCCCGCACAAGCAGUGGAGUAUGUGGUUUAAUUCGACGCAACGCGAAGAACCUUACCAGGUCUUGACAUCGUAUGCAUAAUGUAGAGAUACAUGAAGUCCUUCGGGACAUACAGACAGGUGGUGCAUGGUUGUCGU